UGGAAGGUGGCGCUAAUACGGCAUAACGUCGCAAGGUAAAAGUGGGGGACCUUGGGGCAUCUGUGCAUCGGAUGUGCCCAGAUGGGAUUCGCUUGUGUGUGGGGUAACGGCUCGUCAAGGCGAAGAGACCUAGCUGGUCUGAGAGGAUGACCAGCCACACUGGAACUGAGACACGGUCCAGACUCCUACGGGAGGCAGCAGUGGGGAAUAUUGCACAAUGGGCGCAAGCCUGAUGCAGCCAUGCCGCGUGUAUGAAGAAGGCCUUCGGGUUGUAAAGUACUUUCAGCGGGGAGGAAGGGAGUAAAGUUAAUACCUUUGCUCAUUGACGUUACCCGCAGAAGAAGCACCGGCUAACUCCGUGCCAGCAGCCGCGGUAAUACGGAGGGUGCAAGCGUUAAUCGGAAUUACUGGGCGUAAAGCGCACGCAGGCGGUUUGUUAAGUCAGAUGUGAAAUCCCCGGGCUCAACCUGGGAACUGCAUCUGAUACUGGCAAGCUUGAGUCUCGUAGAGGGGGGUAGAAUUCCAGGUGUAGCGGUGAAAUGCGUAGAGAUCUGGAGGAAUACCGGUGGCGAAGGCGGCCCCCUGGACGAAGACUGACGCUCAGGUGCG
rnacentral:rRNA from 1 species